CAGUAGCCGCGGUAAUACAGAGGGUGCGAGCGUUAAUCGGAUUUACUGGGCGUAAAGCGUGCGUAGGCGGCUUCUUAAGUCGGAUGUGAAAUCCCUGAGCUUAACUUAGGAAUUGCAUUCGAUACUGGGAAGCUAGAGUAUGGGAGAGGAUGGUAGAAUUCCAGGUGUAGCGAUGAAAUGCGUAGAGAUCUGGAGGAAUACCGAUGGCGAAGGCAGCCAUCUGGCCUAAUACUGACGCUGAGGUACGAAAGCAUGGGGAGCAAACAGGAUUAGAUACCCCCGUAGUCCCUGUCUCUUAUAC
rnacentral:rRNA from 1 species